rnacentral:rRNA from 1 species
GCCAUGUGGCGACACAGCGCGGAACCCGAAAACGCCACUCAGUUCGGAUCGGAGUCUGCAACCCGACUCCGUGAAGCUGGAUUCGCUAGUAAUCGCGCAUCAGCCAUGGCGCGGUGAAUACGUUCCCGGGCCUUGUACACACCGCCCGUCAAGCCAUGGGAGCCGGGAGCGCUUGAAGUGCGUCGCCGCGAGGCGCGCCCUAGAGCGAGACCGGUGACUGGGGCUAAGUCGUAACAAGGUAUC